AAUUGAUAUGCUUGCUUUAAGGACUAAGCCAUGCAUGUUUAAGUUCACGCUUAUUGCCGAAACCGCAUAUGGCUCAUUAAACAGCUAUGAUUUCUUAGAUACUACUACCUCUACUUGGAUAACUGUAGAAAUUCUAGAGCUAAUACAUGCCAAUUUAUGCUUUAGCCUUAUGGUUAGGGUGGCUAUAUUAGAAUAAAAUCAACCUACCUUCGGGUAGAUCGCAUGGCCUUGCGCCGGCCUAUCUUUCAAGUUGCUGCCCUAUCCUUGCGAUGGUGAGAUAAAGUCUUACCAUGGUUAUAACGGGUAACGGGGAAUCAGGGUUCGAUUCCGGAGAGGGAGCCUUAGAAACGGCUACUACAUCUAAGGAAGGCAGCAGGCGCGCAACUUAUUCACUGCUAGUGUUAGUGAAAUAGCAACAGAGAAUACCGAUGCGGAUCUUUUUAUAAGUUUCUGCAA
rnacentral:rRNA from 1 species